rnacentral:lncRNA from 1 species
CCUUUCUUCCAUUCUACCUGGGCCUGUUUCUUUUUGCCCAACAUCCUGAUUUUGCAUUUUUUUAAGCCAGAAACUGGGGAAAGGAGAAGCAGAUAUCAAAGACAAAAUUCAUACAAAUUUACAUAUGUACUCAGGCUAUGUCUGAACUUCCCAUUCAAUUCCAUUGGUCUGUAUAUUCAUGUACUGAGACCACCACACUCUUCUGCUUAUGAGAUGUAGUUCUUAAAUAAUAGACUUGAAAGUCAAAAUGACUCCUUGAUCCAUGGGCUGCAGAAUGGAUGCUGUGUUAACAGGCAUGAAAACACAUU